rnacentral:rRNA from 1 species
GACAAUGGGGGGAACCCUGAUCCAGCCAUGCCGCGUGUGUGAAGAAGGCCUUAUGGUUGUAAAGCACUUUAAGCGAGGAGGAGGCUACUUUAGUUAAUACCUAGAGAUAGUGGACGUUACUCGCAGAAUAAGCACCGGCUAACUCUGUGCCAGCAGCCGCGGUAAUACAGAGGGUGCGAGCGUUAAUCGGAUUUACUGGGCGUAAAGCGUGCGUAGGCGGCUUAUUAAGUCGGAUGUGAAAUCCCCGAGCUUAACUUGGGAAUUGCCUUUGUGACUGCAAGGCUAGAGUACGGCAGAGGGGGAUGGAAUUCCGCGUGUAGCAGUGAAAUGCGUAGAUAUGCGGAGGAACACCGAUGGCGAAGGCAAUCCCCUGGGCCUGUACUGACGCUCAUGCACGAAAGCGUGGGGAGCAAACAGGAUUAGAUACCCUGGUAGUCCACGCCCUAAACGAUGUCAACUGGUUGUUGGGUCUUAACUGACUCAGUAACGAAGCUAACGCGUGAAGUCGACCGCCUGGGGAGUACG